rnacentral:ncRNA from 1 species
UAUCUUUGCAGCUUGAUUACGAAAAUCGUAUCAAUACAUAAAAAUCAUUUACAAUAAUAUUAGCAUG